UAAAAAUAGAUGAGUGAUAGAGACAUGUCUGUACGCUUGUUGGAGCCCACGACAGGCGCUAAAAAUAGCUCGGGUUUCCAUAAGCUCAACAUGAGGAAACUCUCCCUUCAGUGGACUUCGAGGUUAUUUUCUACUAUGCGAUAGGGCCCCACUCACGUGUUAAACAGUUUAGAAUGUAUCGAUGCCCUAUUUGACAACACUGAAUUAGAUGCAACAAGAGAUACAACAGGUUUGGACCUGUCUUCGUACCACAGACCGAGUAACAGCCAAUCUGAACGUUUAUGGUGGUGACGUCACUGGAAAUCCCCAUGCCUAAAACUGUGUAUCAACAAAACAUGUUUGGACUUGUCUCGUUACUUCGCGGAUUUUUAGACGUGUUUCAACUUGUUGCGUUUUAGCAGCCGAUGGGUAUAUAAAGGCUGGAUUUCCCCCAAACAAGUCAUUCAAUCGCCGAAAAAGAAGCAAAAGGUCACGUUCAAUUUUACUCGAGAAAAACAAAAGCCAUCUGAAAUAUUUCGUGCUGAUAUUGGAACAGAACGGGACCAUUAUAUCAUACUUGAUGUGAGGCUAUCUGGUAAAAAUAUGGUUUUCAACAGCUUUGUGUCUAGAGCCUGGGGAAUGGGAUCGGGCACGUAUGUCAAGAUUGACAUUUUCCCAUUUACAGUUGAUGUUCCCUUCGAGCUUAGGAUAGCCUACCUGAACAGCACGUUUACGUUUUCUGAAAGCGGAACAUUCAUUUACAACUUCACAACUCCACAUCCAGUGGAAAUGGCUGAUCGAGUGCUAAUUCGUAAUGAUGUUUUUGUUCAAAAACUAAAAUUGAUAUACUAAACAGUUCACACUUUCCAUCGGUAAAGUGUCAUAACUGUGACAAAUUCAUAACAGGAGGAACGAUUCAAUAUUUUUAGCAAUCAAAAUGACUACAAAAAUGUAUUUGACAUAAGAAAAUUAAAACUUGUUAAAUAUA
rnacentral:misc_RNA from 1 species